rnacentral:lncRNA from 1 species
GAUGGACAGAAGUCAAACAGAAGGGAUUGUGAGGUGCAUACAUGUUGGGCUGUUAUGUGUGCAGGAAGAUCCAGCAGACAGGCCAACAAUGUCAUUUGUGGUUCUAGCUUUGGGAAGUGACCCAAUAGCUCUUCCUCAGCCGAAACAACCUGCUUUCACUCUAGGUAAAAUGGUUCCAAUCUACAAGUCUUCACCGACAGAUCCUUCUGUAAAUCAAAUGACUGUUUCUGGUAUCACACCGCGCUGAUUGUUAAUAAGAUUGCCACUGUUCUUGUCAAUGUCUGCGGCAAUUGGUGUGGUUCAGAAUAGCUAGUUUUCUUAGCCAUUUUGUUAAGAUCUCAAAAUGGUGAAUAGAAGACCUCAAAUUGUGUAUAAUAAAAAUGUGUCUGAAUAGCUAGUUGGAAUUAUAAGGGGUUCUGACAAAUUAUAAGCCAGAAAUAAAUAGAAUGACAAGACACUGUACAGUAAUUUUAAAAUAAUUUUUUUUUAUAUAAAUAUUAAGAUGAAAACAUAUUAGAUCGAUUCAAGUUUAUUCAUAUUAAAAUGUAAACUUUACAAUCUCGAUCAUGAGACUGUUAUAAUCUCAUAAAAAAAAUAUUGAAAUCCAAUUCUCAAUCAAUCCAAAUAUUGAAUGAUAAAAUAAAAAAAAAUAAUUAAAAAAAGAUAAAAAAAACCCUGAAUCAACAAGUUAACUUACAAAACUCAUGAUCUGAAUCAUGAAAUUAUGAUAACCUCAGAGAAAGUAAACCAAAAGAAAUUAUAAAGUUCAAUCCUCUAAUAAAUCUAAUUAUUAAAGGAUUAAAUUAAAAAAAUUAAAUUAAAAAUUAAAAAAAAAGAAAAAAAUUAUUGUUCCAAUUAACACUACUUUUAGGAGGAGGUGAAGAAUGAUUUUAAUUAUAUUUUAUAUUUAUAUAAAUAUUAAAUUCCCCUUUAACCAACCUAAUAAUUACAUAAAAAUCAAUUAAAAUAUAAAAAAAAUCUCUUAACAACAGUUUUAGAUUUUUUUACUUACAAUUAUAUUUUAAUAAUUUUACUAUGUAUUAAAAAUAAAAAUAAAAACUUAUUUAUACUCAAUGAAUUUGGUCAUGACUAAUGAUUCGUAGAUAAGAUAAAAUCAUCAUUGCAUUAUUUUAUUAAUCAUUAUUUUCGCUCACAGUAAACAUUGUUUACACUUAUAUUGAAUAGUGUUUUUCAAGGGGAUUUAGGCUUUGUUAAUGUUUUUCAAAGUAGGUUGAGAAAACGAUAGGAAUUGAGAGGGUUUUUAUAGAUUUUUUCCUUCAGUUUCUCAACAAAAUCCUAAUGGAAAGGAAACAUUAAAAAAAUCAUAUUGUUUAAGAGGUAAAAUCAAGGAUUUUUUUAGUUCAAAGGUUUUCAAUUUUUUGUUGUUGAAUUGCCAAAGAGAGAGUUGGCUCUCUCGACUCACAAGUUCACCUAAAGGGUUCAUAAAUUGGCAUUGUCAAGGAAUAAUUAAGAGGUUGUAUUUUAAUAAUUAAAUCUAUUCUUUAAAAAAAAAAGUGCUAUUACUUUCAUUAAUAAUAGUUAAAAAUAUUAUUGGUUAUGCUAUUAUUUCAAUUUUUGAAUGGUUCGAUUAUGCUAGUAGAGUUUAUUUGGCAAUGUUGUAAUUUUUAUUUUUCAAAAUACUUUUAAAAUUAUUUUUCAUUUGAAAAAUGUAUCAAAUUGAUUUUUUAGAUGUUUUUUAAUGAUUUUGAGAUGCUGAUAUUAAAAAAAUAAUAAAAAUUAUAAAAUAAUAUUAUUUUAAUAUAUUUUCGAUUGAAAAACACAUUUAAAAAAAAUACUCUACAUUACAAUACUAAAUACAUAAUUAGUUUAGUUUAAUGAGUGCCCUCAUUAUAGGCAUGUGUGAUGAAGUCUUUUUUUCCUUUGUUUAUUAUAAUAUAACUAAAACAUGUGGUGAAAGUACUAUAGCUUUCCUUACAUGUUACCGUUGAUUGCUAUAAUGCUUCUUUUUUUUUUCUAAAUUAUCUUUGUCACUUUUAUUUUUUUAAUAUUAAAGUGGUUAAUAAUUUAGCUUUAUAAUGUUUUUUCCUUUAAAACACUAUGAAUUCCUACAAUGUUUCUCCACAUAGUUUUUAUGAUUAUUUUCAAAAUUGUUUGUCGAUUUUAUUUUUUUAAUAUAUAUUGAGCUGGUUGAGAAUUACAGCUGUAGCUUUUCUCAUAAAACACUGUGGAUUGCUACAAUAUUUCCCCACAUGAUUUUAGUUUUUUUUCAUUUUUUAAAGAUUUUUUUCAAAAUUAUAUUUGUCGAUUUUAUUUUUUUAAUAUUGAGUUGGUUGAGAAUUUAGCUUUGUAAUUUUUUUCCUUAAAACAUUGUGGAUUACUAAAGUGUUUCCCCACAUGUUUUUUAUGUUUUUUUUUUUUAUGUUUUAUGAUUUUUUCCAAAAUUAUUUUUGUUGAUUUUAUUUUUUAAUAUUGAGCUGGUUGAGAAUUACAAUUAUAAUGUGGGGAAAACACUGUAACUUUCCUCACAAAUUACUGUGGAUUGCUAUAGUGUUUUCCCCACAAGAUUUUUUUUUAGUUUUUUUAUGUUUUUUUUUUUAAAUUGUCUUUGUCGAUUUUAUUUUUUUAUAUUGAGCUGGUUGAGAAUUAUAAUUACAAGCAAUAUAAGUAAGGCUAAAUCAUGUGGGGAAAGCACUGUAGCUUUCAUCACACAACACUGUGAAUUGCUAUAGUGUUUCACAAUAUGGUUUUUUUCCCCGUCUUUUUUGUGUUUUCUUUUUUGUUAUGAUUUUUUCCAAAAUUAUCUUUGUCGAUUUUAUUUUUUUUAAUAUUGAGCUGGUUAGAAUUUAACUUUGUAAUUUUUUUUUAAAAAAAUACUGUUGAUUGCUACAGCGUUUCCCCACAUGGUUUUUUUUUGUUAUCAUUUUUUCUAAAAUUAUCUUUGUCGAUUUUUUUUUUAAUAUUGAGUUGAUUGAGAAUUACAAUUACAAUAAAGCUAAAUCAUGUGGGGAAAGCAUUAUAGCUUUCCUCGCAAAACACUGUGGAUUGCUAUAUAGUCUUCCUAUAUGAUUUUUUUUUCUUAUGAUUUUUUUGAAAUUAUCUUUGUCGAUUUUAUUUUUUUAAUAUUGAACUGGUUGAGAAUUACAAUUACAAGUAAGGCUAAAUCAUAUAGGAAAGCACUAUAGCUUUCCUCGCAAAACACUGUAGAUUGCGACAGUGUUUCCAAGACGGUUUUUUUUUGUGUUUUUUUUAUGAUUUUUUUUUUAAAUUAUCUUUGUCGAUUUUAUUUUUUUAAUAUUGGGCUAGUUGAGAAUUUAGCUUUGUAAUUUUUUAAAAAAUAUUGUGGAUUGCUGCAGUGUUUCCCCACAUGUUUGUUUUGUUUUUUUAUUAUGUUUUUUUAAAAAAUUAUCUUUGUCGAUUUUAUUUUUUAAUAUUGAGUUGGUUGAGAAUUACAAUUAUAAUAAAGCUAAAUCAUGUGGGAAAAACACUGUAGCUUUCCACACAAAACAUUGUGGAUUGUUAUAGUAAUUCCUUACAUGGUUUUGUUUUGUUAUGAUUUUUUUUAAAAAAAAUUUCUUUGUCGAUUUUACUGGGAAAAGCAUUGUAGCUUUCCUAAGAAAACACUGUGGAUUGCUAUAGUGUUUCCUCUCAUGGGUUUUUUUUUUUCAAAAUUAUCUUUGUCGAAUUUUUUUUAAUAUUGAGCUGGUAAAUAAUUAAACUUUGUAAUGUUUUUUUCUUUUUAUUGAUAGAAAAGCUAAAUCAUGUGGGGAAAGCACUGUAUCUUUCCUCACAAAACAUUGUGGAUUGAUACAAAUCAUUCUAUUCAGUCUCUAAAUUUUUUAUCAUCAACACAACUUUUUUUUUUUUUUGGAAUAUUGACUCCAUCAUACCUUCAGUUUUUAUUACUUAUCUCGUGCUGGUUCACAAUUAUACUUAACAUCAUCAAACACAUUUAUUUCAUAAGCCCGUGGCAGUGCGUGAGCAUGCCUUCUAGUUCUACACUAUAUCCCAUAUAUAAAAUAUUUGGAUAUAUAGAAGAAUUCUAUAUUUUUAUCCAUAUUUUUGAAUUUUAUGUCCAUAAUGAUAUCAUAUUUUGUAGUUCAAACGAUAUUUUACAAUUUAAUCUUUCAUUAGACUAAAAAGUAUAUCCCAUAUAUAAAAAUAAUAGAAAUUACAACUUGGUAUUUGAAAAUGUCGUUGAGAACAUUAACACAUAGUCUUCUUGGCGUAUGGAGAAUAUAAAAAACUCUUUGAACUUCCUAAAUUUGGAUUAAUUGUUUAUGUAGAAACGAUUGCAUCGCGCAUACAUAAAUGAGUUUAAGUCACCAAGAAUCAACAACAAACGAGCUGCAUAAUUAAUAACUACCUUACGUAAAAUAUUAACUUUCAAAUAAAAUGAUGGAAUUCUACAAAUCAGCUUGCAUUGAUAAAACUAAUUUAAAGUUUUUUUUAUUGUUUUUGUCUGUUUUUUUGGUGAACAUUAACCACCAAAAGUAACAACAAGCACAACUAACAUAGAAUCACCAUACAAAAUCUUAAUUUUAAAUUUUAUUAUUGGAUAGUUUAUCUUUAAAUAGUCUCUUGAAAUACAAGCAGAAUAAUAAUAUUUAUAUAAGUCCAAAAUCUAUCUUGAAAAGAAAAAAAUCCUAAUAAAUAAUUACAUAUAUAGUUAUUCUAUGAAUUUUUAAACUAAUUAGGAAAAAUAAAUUUACUAAGUAUAGUAUUUAAUUUUCUAAACUAAAUAAAAGAUAUAAAAACACCAUUAAAAAAUAAUUUUCCAAACCAUAUAGAAAUAAAAAUAAUUAAUAAAAUAAAUAUUUUAAUUGCUAAAAAUCCCCCGCAUCCUAAACUGAUAGACGAUCAAAUAAACUGAUUUAUAUAUGUUUCAAUACACACAGCAUAGUCAUUACAAUGCCUAUGACCACUCAGAGGUUCUUUGGGUUGCGGUGCAAUCUCUAUCUCAUGAUUUUUUAAAUUUAUUUUUGGUUAAAAUUAUUCUUUUAUAUUUUUAAAUUUUGAUAUAAUAAUAUUAAAAAUAAUUUUAAAAGAAUAAAAAAUAUUAUUUUGAUGUAUUUUUAAGUAAAAAACACUUUAAAAAACAACCGCUACCACAUACUUAAAUACUCUCUUAAAUAUUUAAUUUUUAUGUACCAUUAACUAUAUUUGAAUACUCUUCAAAAUACAUUUAGUUUAAGAAAAUAUUAAAUUUAUGUUUUUUAGUAUUUUUAAAAAUACUAGUUUGUCGUGCACUUUUUGUUUUUAAACUUCUGCUGCGUUUUCUUUUCACAACGCACCUCUCAUAUAUAUAUACUUGUGAUAUUACGGGAACUGAAUGUAUAAUUUUUUACCCAUAAAAUUUGGUUUUUCCGUGGAUGACAAGGGAAACAUUCUAAGUAAUUUUUGUUUGUUAAAAUAUUUUUUGUCCAAAACAAAAUCAAGCUUAUAUAAUUUUAAAUAUUUUUUUAAUUAUUUUAAUAUGCUUAUAUAAAAAAUAAAAAAACAUAAAAAGUUGUUAUUAUUAUACAUUUUAAUUAAAAAAAUAUUUGUAAAAAUUACUUCAUACUAUAUCACCGAAUAUGUACCUCGAGGCUGAGAUUUAAAUGCAUGAAGAAAAAGUGGGCCGAUCGUAAAUGCAGUUUCUUACAAUUUUCCAAGUACGAAAUAUGAAUCAUAAAACAAGUCCUGUUCAAACUCGGAAUUGUUGUUCAAAGACGAACAUUGAAUAUUCAUUGAAUAUUGGUUAAAACUUUGAGUCCAGGUCAAAUCAUUAACGUCCAGCCAUGUUCUUAACAAAUCUUACAAAUUACAUAAGACCUUCCUGGAAACUACACACCACGAAUAGAUCGCUGUCAAAAAUUCAGUAUUCAUUGUCUAAUAUAGUUUUGUUGACCAUAGCAAGUCCAUUUUUCUUUUUCAACACACACAUCCAUUUUUCGAUGAUCUUUAAGAUCUUUGCUAAUGUGUUGAGUUUUUUCCAAGGAUAUGACAUUAAAUUUGAUAAUUAAAUAUGAAUUUAAUCCAAAAUAUUAAAAUUCAGUGGUGAGUGACUCAUUAAUAUUACCUUAUAUUCUUAUAAUUAUUUGACGGGGGACUUCGUUCUAUAACAAUAUUUUUCUUCUUGCCUUGAUUUAUCCCAAUUCUUCCAAGAAAAUUCCCAUGUGCUAUAUGCUUUUGGAUGACCAACCAUGUUGACUGCUUUAUAUAUAUAAAUAUGGUCUCCCGGCCGUAAGGUGAAGGAAGACAGCAAACAAUUUCAGCUACAAAUUAUAGAUGAUCCUUGAUAUCGAAAUCUCAAAACACAAGAUAUGGGUCACAAUUUCCUUGUUGUUAAAAAAAGUUUUCAAAUUCUUUUGCUGUAUUUUUCCAUUGCCAACCUUCUUGAUCUUGCUUAUGCUGAUCCUCCUUACAGACUUUGCUCGAACAAAUCUAACUAUAUAGAUAAUAGUCCAUUUCAAAACAAUCUCGAGACCCUCAUGGCUUCUCUUUCUUCAAAUGCUUCAGUUUCAAAAAUUUUCAAUACCUCUACUGGAAUUGAUCCAGACAGAGUGUAUGCUCAGUAUAUGUGCCUCAACUAUGUAACAAAUGAAAGCUGCCGUACCUGCGUAGCUGCAGCAUCUCAAGAUAUCAGGCAGCUUUGUCCAGGAGAUAAGGAAGCAGUUGUGUGGGGAGACCUAUGUCAAUUGCGCUACUCGAAUCAAAGAUUCUUAGGCCACUUGGAUGUUUCAGGAAACAUUCCCCAAUAUAAUGCAAAGAACAUUUCAAAUCCAGAACAUCUUAGUUUAGUAGUCAACAAAAUCUUGAGUAGUCUUAUCAAGAAGGCAGCUUUUGAUUCUUCAGCGAAUAUGUAUGCUACUAGAGACGAACCUUUCACUGAUAGUGACAGCUUUUUCUCUCUAGUACAGUGCUCUACAGACUUGUCUCCAAAUGAUUGUUACACAUGCCUUGAGGUUGCCAUAAAAAAUGUUACGACUUGUUGCUAUUUUUCUCGUGGAGCAAGGGUUUUCAGCCGCAGUUGCUAUUUAAGGUAUGAGUUAUAUGCUUUCUAUGACGGCGCAUCUGAAUCUUCUCAAAGUCCGGUGACCGGAAAAGGUACUAAUUUGCUUAUAGAUUAAUUAAGACGUAAGAAGUGGUUAUAUUUGGUUGUAUUUGCUAAUAAAAAAAAACUAUACUUCAUGCACUGAAAAUAAUUUCUUUUCCGUAAUGACAGGCAACGAAAGCGAAAUAUGGAUAAUUACCAUCAGUACUGUGGCAUCAACACUUUUGGUGGUAGCAAUUUUAGGCUCCUUCUUCUGCCAUCUUGCGAUGAAAUUCAGAAUGCGAAAAUGCAAGAAUGCUUCUUAUGAAAUUCACUCACAUGUUCUUUUUGGUUUUCUUUGUAACCCUUGUUGACUACUUGAAUCUUGUCAUACAGGUAAGAAAGAAAAUACUAGUCAAGAUGGUAAAUUCCGUGGGUUUGAUCACCCAAACCGCAAUGAUUUCCAGAACCAAGAUUUUCAGAGAGAUGGCCUUAAUGAUCGGGAAUCCGCAAUUAUGGAUUUGGCAUCCAUAAAUGCAGCUACUGAUAACUUUUCUGAAGCAAACUUUCUUGGGCAAGGUGGUUUUGGCCCAGUAUACAAGGUACAUGAAUCACAAUAUCUUAUGUUCAAGCUCAAAUUACCUUACGAAGUACUCUAGAGAAGAGAUAGAAGGAGGUUUUACUAAUUCCUUUGUUGUGAAUUUUUGAAGGGUAUACUGAGUGAUGGAAAGGAAUUAGCAGUAAAGAGACUUUCAGCUUCGUCCGAGCAAGGCAAAAACGAGUUUACAAAUGAAGUUCUGCUAAUCAUGAAACUUCAGCACAAAAAUCUUGUUAAGCUUCUCGGUUUUUGUGUUGAUGGAGAGGAAAAGCUUCUGGUCUAUGAAUUCAUGCCUAACAACAGCCUAGACAUGGUCCUCUUUGGUAACUAGUCCUCUUUAAUAAGUUUCUUAGUGUUUUGAAAUCAGAAAUUUCCAUUCAUUGAUCUCAGAGACAAUAUGCUGAAAUUUUAUUUCUCAAAUACUGAAUACAAGCAAUAAUUUGAUUUCGUAUCAAUUUUGAUUUAACUGUACGUAGAUCCGAGGAAAGGUGCUCAACUUAGUUGGAGAAGUCGUAUUCAUAUUAUAAAUGGGAUUGCAAAGGGAACUCUUUAUCUCCAUGAGGAUUCUAGACUUAGAAUCAUCCAUCGGGACCUGAAAGCUAGCAAUAUCUUGUUGGACAAUAACAUGAAUCCGAAGAUUUCUGACUUCGGAAUGGCAAGGAUCAUGGAAGCUAAUGAAGGCGAAGCCAAUACUGUUAGGAUAGCGGGAACAUAGUAAGUGAAUUUUCACCUGAAUUAUCUUUGUAUACUAAAUAUAAUCACUUCAUUAGUUGCCCGAUUUCCUAGACAAUAAUAAUAUAACAAAGCAUAAUGACAUGAUUCAUCAUUUGCCGUGUUUCAUUUUUCUAACUAAUUUUCCGAGUCUGGAGUUUUUUGGGCCACCUCUGUAUUGGAGCACAGCACAUAGGGCUUGUUGGAUAUUUACUUUUCCAGGAUUACUAAAAAUUUCCUGUCCCUUCUGUUGAAUAGUGGAUACAUGGCACCAGAGUAUGCAAUGGAGGGACUUUACUCCACCAAAUCUGAUGUUUUUAGUUUUGGAGUUAUUCUGUUGGAGAUCAUAACCGGAAGAAAGAAUUCUGGAUUCCACAAAUCGAAACGUGCUCCUAGCCUCCUAGCUUAUGUAAGUUUCUUCGGCAUAGAAUACACAUAAUCACUUGCUUGACACUAUGAUAAAAAUGUUUAGUUAAAUACACUUACGAAUCCUGAAUCAGGCAUGGGAAUUAUGGAACAAUGGAAAGGAACUCGAGAUGAUAGAUCCAGUGUUGGCUGAUUCAUGCUGCUCUGAUGAAUUUUCCCGAUGCGUGCACAUCGGUUUAUUAUGCGUCCAAGAAGAUGCUAGUGAAAGGCCAGCCAUGUCGUCCGUUGUUUUAAUGCUGAAAAGUGACAACUCAAUUGAUCUUCCCCAAUCUCAACGGCCGGCCAUUUUUGCUGGGAGAUUUACAGACCACCACGAGGCAAAAGCUAAUGAUUGUUCUGUCAAUUGCUUAACAGUUUCUGAUAUUUUACCUAGCUGAUGAAGCUGGUGAAUGAAGUGCAUGUGUGACCACGAAGCCCUCUUAGGUAUGUCCGCGGCUAUAUAGGAUGGGGCAAAAUACGUUCAUUGUUUCUCAGUUGCAAAAAUUGGUAUGAAAGAGUAAUAAUGGAAUGAAAUCAAUUAUCUGUUAAAAAAUUUGUUUAAUAUAAUUAUUUAUUACAAUAUUUUGAAUGUGGAUACUGAAUAUUUGAUUUGGUAGUUAAAAACAAUUAAAAAAACACAGUUUUACCGCAAUGCAAUCACCACCUUAGUGUUCUCUAAACCACACUCAAUUGAUGGAUGCAAAAAAUUGGGAGAGGAAACUAUUUAUAGUAUAUUUUUAACAUAAAAAGCAAAACUAAAAAAGGUGCAUUAAUUCACCUCUCCCGAGUCCAUGCAGAUCGCACGAUGAGAUUGUGCAUGCCAUGAAAUUUCAACUUUGUCCCGUGAAGACAAAGCAUGCAUUACACAGUUGAAGACAAAGCUGCUGGUGCACUUUAAUGUCGGUGCUGAGUAUCGGUAGAAGAUGCUAAGCAAGGGCAGACAAAUACUGUGUUGAUAACAAGUCAAUUUUCACGUAUUGGAUUCUUUUGUAUGAAUUAUUUAAAAAAAAGAAGAGUACCAAUGACAAGAGAAGAAACUUUUUUUAGUCAAUAAUUUAAAUUCAAUGUUACCUUUUAUCUAAUCUUUGUUUAAAAUGAUUAACAAAUUGAAGUCAAAUUAUUCAUGCAUCACAUGUACAUAUGAACUUCAUUAAUGUAAUGAAAUUGGAGGAUUACACACGACCAAGUUGGAUGACCCCACUUUACAAUUACUUUUUUAUCCUAGUCUUAUAUAAAUAAUAAAGUGCACGCGUGAUUUUAGUGGGUUUUUUUUUCUCUUUAAUUUCAUUAGUUAAUAAAGCACAUGUAAGGAACAUGUGUAAUUAAUUAAUAAUAUUUGGUUAUUAUCUUAAGGUAAAAUAGAUAGGGAUAAUAUGGAUGAAAAUGACAUGUCUAUCUUUUAUUUCUUACUUUAAAAGUCUACAUUCAAACUUAGUUGGGGGCAUAGCUUCCUUUUCUCUGAUAAUCCGAAUAUCCCUUUUGUUUCUUCUUUUGAAAUUUAAGUUCAUUGAUUAAGUUCUGAAAAGUAGAUGGCCAAUACUGGAUUGGGCAAGAAAUGGGAAAGCCUUGGUGGCUAUUGGAUCUUCUUGUGGAAAACGCACACCAACCUUUCGGCUUUUUGAUCUUCUUGUGGAAAAGGGCAGAGAUAUGAUGAGCAUGUAAUUUGGGUGUGUUUGGGAAAACAUCACCUCCGGACCUGCUAAAAAAAUCUCUAUGAAAUGAUGAAUUCAGCCCUGCAAAGUUCAAGAUACUGUAGAUGCCUGUCGAACUUGAUGUCGAUGUUAUCAAGUAGAUCUAUUCCUUUGGUUUGCAAUAGUGAAUUUAAAAGUAUAGAGCUAUUUUUGAAGCUAAUAUAUUAGUGAAUGAAGGGGAUGUAAAGAUCACGUUAGGAAAUUUUGAGAUCAUGCACGAACCAUGUGGCUAAUAGACCAUUAGGAAACAUGGUUGGUGAGAAGCACCAAUCCUGGAAUAAAGUACUAAAUAGUGGCUUCGCUUUGGUAAAAGCACUUCGUUAAAGUAAGUAAGACUGAAAGGAGCCAUCAACGGGUAAAGUAGCAAAUGCCUGCGAGCAGGAGAAUCUCAAUAUCCCUUUUUAUGGAUUAAGUUUUGAAAAGUAGAUGGCCAAUACUGGAUUAGGCAAGAAAUGGGAAAGCCUUGGUGGCUAUUGGAUCUUCUUGUGGAAAACGCACACCAACCUUAAUUUCGGCUUUUUGAUCUUCUGGGAAAACAUCACCUCCGGACCCGCUAAAAAAUCAUUAUGAAAUGAUGAAUUCACCCUGCAAAGUUCAAGAUACUUACGUACCUGUCGAACUUGAUGUCGAUGUUAAGAAGUAGAUCUAUUCCUUUGGAUUGCGAUAGUGAAUAUAAAAGUUUAGAGCUAUUUUUGAAGCUAACAUAUUAGUGAAUGAAGGGGAUGUAAAGAUUUUAGGAGCAAUGAACCACGUUAGGAAAUUUUGAGAUUAUGCACGAACCACGUGGCUAGAAUACCAUUAGGAAACAUGGAUGGUGAGAACCACCAAUCCUGGAAUAAAGUGCUAAACGGUGGCUACGCUUUGGUAAAAGCACUUUGUUAAAGUAAGCAAGACUGGAAGUAGCCAUCAACGGGUAAAGUAGCAAAUGCCUGCGGGCAGGAGAAUCUUAAUGGCUUUCCAACAAUUAAAGAGCCAUCCAUUACAGGACUUUCUUUUCUUGUAACUUGAAUGUCAAUUGUUUGAUGACUUAUUUUUUCAAUUUUAUAGCGAAGGGAGACUUUUAAUUUUUUAUAAUAAACCAGAGGACGGGUUUUUCUCAAAUCCGGAGAGUAUAUUUUAUAAUUUCAAGUACAUUUGUCUUUAUUCUAAUCUUGUAUUAAUUGUAAAGGCUUCCUAGAAUUUCUUACCUUUAAUUUAUCCAGACAAGAGUUAUUAGCAAAUUAGUACUCUAGCGUUUUAUUUUUAUUUUUCUUAUUUUGUAUUAUUAGAGAAUUCUAUUUUUUUUAUUUAAAUAAUUAUAAUAGCUUUUGACAAAUAAAAAAAUUAAUGAAUAAAAGUUAAAUUUUUGCGUUCUAUUGUGUUUUUUUUUUUUUUUGUAAAUUUUAAUUUGUCUUGGGGUUUAUAUGUUUUCUAUAUUUUACCUAAAAAAUUUAAUUUAUUUCAAUUAAUUAGAUCCUGUAUCUUUUUUUUUUUUUUUUUCACUUUGCAUAUAGGACAAUUAAUUUAACAUCACAUAAAGCAUGAUUAUUUUUUGAAAAAUCAAAAUGCUCCUUGAUGACAACAUCAAAGAAAGAAAGAGACAUGAUGGUGGAGAUAGAUCAGAAUGGGGAAUGUUUUGAUGAAGAAAAUUAAAAGAGAGUUAAAUAAAUUUGAAAAUUGAUUUUUAUUUAAUUUCAUAUAGUAUUAACAAAGGAAAAUUACGAGAUUACUAAAUGACAAUUGAAGGUGGUAAUAUUUGAGAAUUUUUUUGAAGAACUAACCCUAUCAAGUUUUAUCAUAUUUGUUCUAAUAAACAAAUAUAUUUUCUACUGAUUUUCGUUUUCAUCUUUGUAAUUUCAAUUAUUUUAUUUUAUUUCCUUAAUUACUUCUUUAAUGAGAUUGUGAUUUUUAAUAAUGCAAUUAAAAUCCACACACCUGACAGAAAUGGGGGAGGGAGAAAUUGGAACAAAGAUGAAAGAUGUAAGGUCUAAUUGAAACAAACCAAAGAUUUUAGAUGAAAUUAAAAUCUAUCCUUUAUUUUUCUGAGUUUUUUAAUAAGACCAAAUUCCGUAUUCUUUUCUCCAUACGCAGCAUUAAGACGUACAAGAAGACUUUUCAUCAAGUGACCUUUCUCUAUCCUUCGAUGCACAAGCUGCAUAAAAUAGCAAGAGAAGACCUUCAACUCUUGAACCCAAUCGAGGAAAUAGGCAUUUGAGAUUCUGAGUGGAUAAGUCUGGACAGUACUACUCGUGGCAUGGAGUGUGACUCUUGAAUAUAUUUUCUCAUAGAUAAGAGGACCAAAGAGCAAGUCAAUAUUGGUACAAUCAGGUCGGAAGCAGGGGCGGCUCCUGGAAAACAUUUUAAAUUUUUUUAUUAUUUAAUAUUUUUUAAUUUAAAUAAAUAAACUUUUUAAUAAUAUAUAUUAUUAUAUUAAUAUUAGCCAACCCUGUAAAAUACACCUAGCUCCGCCCCCGGAUACAAUGGUCCCAAUAAAUAAGAUUAAUAAAGAUGUUUGGGGUUGUGGGGUAAUAUGUUUUUUUAUUAAAAUUUUAUUUUAAAUUAAUAUUUUUAGUGUUUUUAAAUCGUUUUAAUAUAUUAAUUAAAAAAAUAAAAAAAAUUAUUUUUAUACAUCAUCUACUACCCUCCAAACACUUCUUAAUAGUCCUACUAAGAAUUGAGAAUAAUUCAAAAUCUAGAUUAAUUCAAGCAGGGAAAUGGUUUGAUAAAAAAUUUUAAAAAAAUCAUCUAGAAUAAUCAAAUAUUUAAAAUGUCAGGGAUUUCAGUGGAGAUCACAUACAACAACUUGUAACAUUCCAACGCAUGAGUUUUUCAAACUAAGAAUAUAUUAUUCCAAUUCUUUUGUUAACAAAUUCCGUUUUGAAUAUAUAUAUAUUUUUUUCAAUAUUCAAACUCUUUUGAAUAUUCUGCUAAUAUUCUUAACAACAGUGCUGCAUCUAAUAAUUAAGUUAAUAAUUGAAGUCAUUUUAUAUCAGAUUCUGAGUUUAGUAAGUAAUAUCAUUCUAUAAGAAAUGAAACCAUGACUAAUCUUUUCAAAAAACGCUAAUGCUAUCAAAUUCUAUUUAUAAAAUUUCACAGCAUUAAUCCAAGUAAUGGAUUUUGAAUAAAAUACUCCGUCGUUGUUUAUAAAAUAUUAAAGAAUAUAACAUAAAUUAUAUUUUGAAGCUUUCCUUCACUAUUUCAAACGAUUUUUUUAGUAUAAUAUUAGAGUUUUCAUAAUUAAAUAGUUACAAGUUUGAAUAUGAAGAUUUUUAUUAAUAUUUUUAUGUAAACCCGCCAGAAGUUGCUUGCGUAAAUGGAAUGCCUUGCAUAAAUUUUUUACUCAUCUCAAUCCUAGCUUUUUAUUGCUUGUCUUGUCUAAUUUUUGCUAAGAUGUUCAUCCAAAAUAUAAUUAUGACCAGGCAUGCAAUUUUAGCCAUGUGUUUCUUGAUUAUACUUCUUUCAAUGCUCUUUGCCCUUGUUCUUGCAGACCCUCUAUUCACUACUUGUUCAACUACUGAAUAUGGUAACUAUGAUCUGAAAAGCCCAUUCGGAAAGAACGUGAAGAUUGUCCUUGAAACCUUGCCUUCCAUCACUUCAUCAACCGGCUAUAACAGCACAGCUAUCGGUGAAUUCCCUGACAAAGUCACUGGCAAAGCACUUUGUAGGGGAGAUGUCACUUCGAGUGCUUGUCAGACGUGUUUGAGAGAUGCAAGCCAAAAACUGUUGAAAGAUUGCGAAAGUAAAGAAGCAAUCAUAUGGUAUGAACGAUGCCAAAUUCACUACUCGUUUCAGAAUAUAAUUUCAUUGGAUGUUUAUGCCGGGAAGUAUCCAGACAUGGAAUCUCAUAAUAAAUCCGUAUCAGAUCCUGUUCAUUUCUAUGACAAUGUAAGGUUCCUCAUGGACAACCUGUCAAAUGAGGCGGCGCUCAAUCGUUCAAAGCUCAUGUUUGAAACUGGGGAAAUCAAGUUUUCAAGGAACGAAACCAUAUAUGGCCAUGUACAGUGCACUAGAGAUAUCAGAGAAGAUGAGUGUCAGAAAUGUUUGAGCUCUGCUUUGAUUGAUCUCAAGGGAUGUUGUUCUUCAAAGCAAGGUGGAAUUAUUGUUAGUAGGAAUUGCAAUGUAAGAUUUGAGCUGUACAAAUACUACAACACCUCAAGUCACUUGAUAACAUUCCCAACUCCUAAAGGUGAGUAAACAGAAUUUGUUUUUACUGAUAAACUGUCAGCAAACAGAAGUUAUGUUUUGAUUACACUUUAGUAAGAAAGGGCAGUACCAGUAACUCUUGGUGUUUCAAAUGCUGGCUUUGCAAGGCAGGAGUAAUUGGAAGAUGGUGGCAAUUAUUGUGUUCAUACCUACAAUGGUGCUUACAAUAGUCAUUGGAUCUUCCAUUUUCUGUCUGAGGCGAAAAAGAAGAAGACAAAGAGGUAUCUGAACCAAGUGAUCACGUCCACUUUAAUUAAAUAGGUUAAUUUACAUCCGAAUUCAAAAGUACUAAAACUCCUAUUUUUUGGCAGACAUGGAAAGAAGUCACCUUACAUUAUUAAAGGAAUCAGCAAGUCCAAUAGGGUUCACAACGACAGAAGAAGGUCAGUUGGUAAGUUCUGAGGACCUGCCUUUCAUGGACUUAAAUACUAUCAGAGCAGCCACAGACAACUUCUCCGACCCGAAUAAGCUUGGACAAGGUGGGUUUGGCACUGUUUAUAAGGUAAGUUGUAAAGGGGCUUCUCUGUCACAAUCCACUGAGAUUCAGCUGUCUUUGCAGUCCAACCCUCUAAAAGGAAAACCCAGUUUUUUAUUCAGUUUGACAUGGUUAAAUAUUGCUUCAGUUCACAAAAUUUUCCUCAUUGCAAAUUGUUUCAGGGUAUGUUAACAAAUGUGAAAGAAAUAGCUGUUAAAAGGCUUUCAAUAAAGUCAUGGCAAGGUUUAGAGGAGUUCAAGAAUGAAUUCAUGCUAAUUGAAAAAUUACAACACCGAAACCUGGUGAGGCUGUUGGGAUGUGGCAUGGAAGGAGAGGAAAAGCUGCUCAUAUAUGAGUUCAUGCCUAACAAAAGCCUUGAUAUUUUUAUCUUUGGUCUGUUCCAUUCAUUUAUUUUGCCUUUGAAUUCUUAAAUUUUACAUUUUCAACAAUUAAAUGACGCAAGAGGCUGAAAUUUCUUCUUAUUCAAAUUUCAGAUGCCGAAAGACGUGCACAGCUUGAUUGGGAGACAUGUUACAACAUAAUUGGUGGCAUUGCUAGAGGACUUCUUUAUCUACAUGAGGAUUCUCGGCUUAGAAUCAUUCACCGGGAUUUGAAACCUAGCAAUGUUCUACUGGACCACGAAAUGGUUGCCAAGAUAUCAGACUUUGGCAUGGCUAGAAUUUUCAGCGAAAACCAGAACAAAGCAAACACCAGAAGAGUAGUAGGAACAUUGUAAAUCCUCUUUCUUCUCCGCUAUUUCUUUUUUCUUGUAUUCUGACGAUUUUGAUCCAUAAUUUUAAUCUCCUAGGGUUUUCUUAUAUGUGAAACAGCGGAUACAUGGCUCCAGAGUACGCAAUGGAAGGAAUAUUCUCAGUGAAAUCGGAUGUCUUCAGCUUUGGUGUUAUACUUCUUGAGAUCAUAAGUGGGAAAAGAAGCAGUGGUUUUUACCUCACAGAGCAUGGCCAGACGCUCUUAGCAUAUGUGCGUACAAUAUUUUCCCUGCCCUUGAACAUUUUCCCUUAAUCUUGGCAGGUAAUGUUAUGACAUAUUAUGAAACCAAAUUCACAGGCAUGGAGAUUAUGGAUCGAAGGGAAAGCAAUGGAGUUUGUGGAUCCUUUGUUGGUGGAAAGAAGCCCAGCAGAAGGGAUUUUGAGGUGCAUGCAUAUUGGGCUGUUAUGUGUGCAGAAGGAUCCAGCAGACAGGCCCACAAUGUCAUUUGUGGAUUUAGCAUUGGCAAGCGACCCAAUAGCUCUUCCUCAACCACAGCAACCAGCCUUUUCUCUUGUUAAAAUUGUUCCAGCUGACAAGUCUUCAUCAACAGAUCGUUCAGUGAAUCAGAUGACAGUCUCUAGUUUCUUACCGAGGUGAUUGUCAAUGAAAUUGCCACUAUGUUAAUGUGUCCGGCAACAGGCAUGGUUGGGAAUAUAUUAUUUCAAUAUAUGUUAAUGUGUCUGAUAUUCUUUUUUGAUAAAUUUGCUAUGCUGACCUGUACUUUGUCACCGAUCGGAUAAUAUUUUUUUUAUAAAAAACAAGAGAAUAUUAAAGCUUUUUAAUGUGUAUUUUGUCAAAAAAAAAAAAACCCUAAUCAUAUAUUGAAAAUUUUAUGCAUAUAUUUAAUUAAAUAAAUAGAAAAUCAUAUAUAUCAAUAAUUAUAUAUAAAAAAAAGAUGUUGACGCAUCUAUUAAAUUUUUUUCACUACGAGUCGGAUAUUUUUUCUAUAACACAAGAGAAAGAAUAUGUAAAUAUUGUUAACAUGUUUUUAUACCAAUAUAUAUAAAAUUAAUUAUUUAAUAUGUAUUGAAAUAUUUUUUUUAAAUACAUAUUUAAAAAGAUAUCAAUAAAAAAAAAAAAAGAAAGUGGUCCAUGCAUCUAGCUCGUGUUGAAAAGUGACAGACAACAUAUCAUUAAGCUCGAUAUCAUGGUUUAAACUUAUAAAAUGUUAGUCAGACUCUUUACUUGACCCAAGUUUUAAAUUCAACUAUGUGAGUAUUGCUUCAAUGUGAUAUUAUCGAUUCGAUAAGUCCAAACUCAUGAUCCUGGUUAUGGACUCCACUUAGUUGAAUUGUUUUUUAAUUUUAUCAUAUAAUAAAAAGAACAUGUAAAUCAAUCUAUAAUUAACUUAAUAUUAAAAGAUAAAAAAAAAUCAACUUUAAAUAAUAAAAUUAAAUAAAUAAAUAAAACAAAAAAUAAAAAAACCAAUAAAAAAAUCUAGUCAUUCUGGGCUGGCCUUUAUGAGUAGACUUUAAACUUAACUCCAUGCUAGCUACUUGAGCAACAACACAAAGUUGUUAACUGAAUAACUAAAAUAAUAUAUCAACCUGGUUAAUUGAUGAUAUAAACAUAUAAUCCCACCUAUUUUUUUUGUUGUAUUUAUAAUUCCUCAUCAUAAAAAUGAAAUAAUACUAUUAUUAGUUAAAUUUUUUUUUUAAAAGGAUUAGAGUACAAACCUCAAUUUGGUCACGAUCAGAUAUAAAAUUUUCAAGGAUUCUCUAAUUUCCAAAACAGGUAUCUUAUCUUUGAUAACACUAAAAAGAAGAAGUUAAUGAAAAAUCAACCUAAAGAUACCACAAAAGAAAAAAAAAAAUCAGGUAGCCAAAGAGAGUGAAGUACUUCAAGAUGUGAAUUAUUAAAUAAUUACUACCUUCAUAAAUCCUAAUUAAUAACACUACCAGAAAAUCAAUAAAUACAAAUAGAAAUAACGAGGGAAUAUUUCCGUCGGUAAAUUUUCGAGGAAUUUUACCGAUGACAAUAUUCCCUCGGUAUAUAUCGAGGUAAUUACAGUGGGAAAAAAAUUAAAACAAAGCAAAAAAAAAUGAUGACGUGUCAUUUUUACCAACGGAAUUACAGAUGGAAUUCUGUCGGUAAAAUCUUUGGUAAACUGUGAACACUGUUCAUCAUGUCAAUUACAAAGGGAAUCACCGACGGACAAUUCCGUCGUUAUUUUCCAGAGAGCUCCAUAACUAUUCACUUUCUAAUUGCACUGUUAAUUAUUCUUCUUUACGAACAAAAUCACUGACGGAUUGAAAAGUCGUCGGUGUUAUUUGGCGGUUUUCUGAAAAAAUUCAAUUAAUUUAAAAUUUUCAUUUAAAUAUUACAGACGGAAUCACCGACGGAUUGAAAAAUCAUCGGUGAUUAUUGGCGGUUUCUGAAAACUUUUUAUGAAAUUAAAAAUUUAAAUUAAAUAUUACAGACGGAAUUACCAACGAAAUAAUUAAAAAAUAUUAAUAUUUAAUUAUCCGUCGGUAAAACCGUCGCUAACGCGUCCCAAUAAAAAACAUGAAUCCUCUUAUUUCACAAGAGACAGACUCAUUUCUUCUUCUUCUUCUACUACUACUUCUUCUUCUUCUUCUUCCUCCCUAUGUGUAAAAAACAUCAAUAACUAUUUCUUUCUCUUCUCUUCUCUCCUCAUCUCCUUCUCUUCUCCUCCAUGCUCGGGUAUGUCUUCUUCUUCUUUCUUCUUUUAUCCUCUUAUUUUUUUAAUUAAUAUGCUUUACGGAUUUUUCUCUCUCCUUAGCUUCACUUGCAACUACAUUAAGGUAAUAUUUUUCUUUUUUCUUCUUUUUUCAUGAUUUUUUUCACUAUAUUUGUUAUUUUAUUUUAUUUUUAGUUGUUUUUGUUCUUAAUAAUUGUAUGAAUGUUGUUGUGAGAUUUUAUUUUUUUCAUAUGAGAUCAAUUUUUAGUUGAUUUAUUUAUAGGAUUUUUAAAUUUUUAGCAAUCGCAACUUCAUUUUUUUCAUAUGAAUUUUUUUAGUUGAAUUUAUUGUUUCGUUUUAUUUAUUUGUUGCAAAUUUGUUUGAGUUGAUUUUUUUCUUCUUUUUUCCAAGCAUUUUGAGUAUAUAUUAUAGAGUGUUGAUUUAUGUUAAUUUAAUUAUUUUAUAAUUUUAUAAAAUGGAUUUUUUUAAAUGUUUUUAAAUAGUUAUCGACAGAAUUACCGAUGGUAUUUUUCGAGGGAUAUACUAACGGAAUGAAGCGGGUAAUUUUUUUUUACGCGUCUGUUCCGUCAGUAAAUCCGUCGGUAAUAAUAUUUUUUAUUACCAACGAAUUUACCGACGAACAAAAAAUUACCGAUGAAAGAUUCACCGACAGAGUGUUUCUGUCGGUGAUUUCGUUGAUAAAUUAAUUACCUAUAAAAUAUAUAUCUUAUACCAACAAAAAAAUUCUUUCAAUAAAACUAUUAAAUAUUAUAAUGAAAAUUCUAUUCAGACAUCAUCAAAAAAGAAAAAUAACUUUCCAACGUAGAAAAACACACAAAGAAGAACUAACGGUACAUGUUCUGCGCAAGUAAUGAUCAUUAUACAUACCUUAAUCCCAAGGCAAAGCAACAUAAAAUCCAAAUUAGAAAUUUCAGCAUGAUUCCGAUAGUUGUGCUAAUAAUGGUGGGUGAUUCGCUUCCUGAGAAUUAUUUUCGAAUGACUUGUAAAAGUAUUAAGGAAGGAAAAUCUUUUCUCAACCACCAAGCAAGAAUGCUUUAUGUCGAAUAUUCAAAUAUAUCCAGAAGAUGGAAAUAUACCUAUAUAUAUAUAUAUCCUCUAAAAGAAAAAUAGAAAAAUAUUAUGUUCCAAUAACGUUGCACAUACAUGGUACAACACUUUUUCCAAGCACUUAUGUUCUUAUUUUUGUACCUUUCUAUACAGACCCAGUAAAAGUACCAUUUAUACUGUAUUUGCUAACUUCACAUAUAGAAAAUUAUUAUUUUAAAAAAUAAUGUUCCAAAUAUAUAAAAAUAAAAAAGAUAUUUCAAAAACAAUGAAUAUAUCCUCCUACAGGAGAUAGCAUCGGGAAAGUUUUUACAACAGCGGAAGCUUGACGAGCAAUGUUGCAUGGAGGUAACCGCAUUGCUAUUAAAUUUGGACUGGUCUGGUAAAUUAACUCGUGAUCUAGAAAUUCAAUAAAACCUAGUUGAGACUUGUUUUUUUUCUAGUCAAAGAUUUUUUUUUAGUUGGUUAUUAUUUCUUUUCAAAGUUUAUUAUAUAAAUACUAAAAACAUAUUUUAUUUUUUCAAUGUGGAUAUUUUAAAGCCCUUUAAUAUAUAUACUAUAUGUUCAUAAAAAAAAAUAUUUUUUUAAUGUGGGAUUUGAAGCCCUUUAAUAUAUGUCAUAACCCAAAUUUUGACAUAUUUUAAUUAUUAUUAUUAUUUUAUUUACUGGAAAAAAUAAAAAAAAUGAUGAUGGAAAAAUAAUAAUAGUAAUGAUGGAAAAACAAGUAAAAUGAAAUAAAUGAAGAAUGAAUUAAAAUUUGGGUUAAGGGCAAAAUGAUUGAAAGUUUUGGUGUUUAAUUAAACUUUGAAAUUAAUCUAAUUAAGCUUGAAAUUAAUUUAAUUAAUCUAAUUAAGGGUUUAAUUGGAGAAUUGAUAAAUUUUUAGACUUAAUUAAGCUUGAAAUUAAUUUAAUUCAUCCAAUCAAGGGUUUAAUUGGAGAAUUGAUAAGUUUUGAGACUUAAUUAAGCUUGGAAUUAAUUUAAUUAAUCCAAUCAGGGGCUUAAUUGGAGAAUUGAUAAGUUUUAGACUUAAUUGGACUUUGGAUUUAAUUAAAUUAAUGAAAUCAGGGACUUAAUUGAAGAAAUAGCAAAGUUUGGGGUUAAUCGGGGAUACGAUUGCAGCAAAUUAAAGUCCAAGGACUAACUUGUAAAAGGCGCCGAAAUGCAGGGAAAAUUACUGUUUAAACCAGGGGUUUAAUUAUAAAAUUUUCGAAACUUCAUGGGUCAAAGUGAAAAUGGCCAUUGAUUAUCUCCAAACGGCGUCGUUUUGAGGAUGUUGUUCAUCUUCUUCUCCUUUAAGCCAGUGAUCGUUUCUGCAGUAAUGGAGGACGCCGAACGUUGCAGCAGUAAUCGUCGUCCGUUGGCUUCAGUAAUGGGCACCUUAAUGGUGGUCGACCCUCAGCCUGCCGCCCGUUACCACCCGCCGAACUCUAUAUAAACGAUGGAGCACCGAAAAAAGAGAGGUGGGUUAAAAGAGAGAGAAAGAGACGAAAGAAACCGGAAAGAAAAGAAACACAAUCAAACCACAGGAACUUUCAGGUUUAUCUCCAGAACUCCCAUACCAGAAAUAGGCUUCCCCUCACCAAUACUGACCCAAGAAAAACGAGAGAGGAAACAGGCCGAGAGAGAGUAGAGAGGUGUUCUGAAAACAGGAGGGGACCAAAAAACAGAGAAACAGGGAGAGAGCAAAACGACAGCAUUCCUGCUUUGCCUUUGCUCUCAAAACGCAAGUGAAGUGCAGAGAAACUGCAAGUGUUGGUCAGCCUAAUUAUUCGUCUCCAGCUACACACUCCAAACCAUCAGGGGGAAACCAGAAAAAAACCAGGAGCAGGAGGGAGUGAACCGGCAAGAGAGGGAGAGAAGCAAACGAAACAGAGGAACAAGCAAACACAGACAGAACAGGGACAGGCAGGAAGAAACCAAUCAGAGAAAAGCAAGAACAAAGGAGAAGGGAAGAGAAAGGAGCUUAGCCGACGAAUCUUUCAUCACGUUUUCAUCUUCAGAGCUACCACGUAAGUAAACUUCUCUUUCCCUGCUAUUCAUUUUAAUUCACCGGUUACUGUUUACUUUGAAUUUUAAUUCACACAUUCUAACUCAUUUCCUCUAUUCUGUUCAUGCACGCGUGACAUCACUUCACGCGUGCUUUCUUUGAUUUUUGCCCAGCCGGGUCACUGGCUUGAGCCUGUGACCCGGCUAGGCCUGCUGGGUCCAGCCCAGCCACAUGGGCUGAGCUGGGCCCAGCCAAAAAAUAAAAAAACAGAAAAGUAAAAAAGGUAGAAAAAAAAUAAAAAAUGUGCAUUCAUGAAUAAAAAUAAUGUAAAUUUAUUGGUUUAUUCACUGACGCCAGAGUCAGGAAUAAAAAUACCGGUUUAAAUUUAUAUUAUUUUUAUUCGGUGUAUUUUAUUUAGCUAGAAAAAUAAAAAAUAUGUGCAUGUGUAAAAAUCAAUUUAUUUUUAUUUAUUUAUUCACUGGCGCUAGAGUAGGGAAUAAAAAAUAUUGAUCUAAUUUUUUUCAUAGCUACGAAUUUUUACCAACGCCAGAGUUGGAAUUAUUCGAGCUCGAAUAUUCACUGGCGCCAGAGUCAGGAAUAUUAUAAACAAAUCAUCAUAGCAUAAGCGAAUAAAUGUUUAGCAAUUUAAGACAAAACCAGCAAUGCAGUCUGCCUCAGGCAGAACGUUUAAGGGGUGAUAAUAUCUUCCUUUUUACGUAAUCAAUCCCGAGCCAUAGAAUCUCUGUUGACCAGUUAGGGUUCCUAGUGACCAUAAUACUAGGUGGCGACUCCUCAAACAAGACAUUUUCCCUUUAAAGAACCAGAUGCCAGAUAAUCUGUUCUUUUUCACAAUCUAGAAUUAAUUUUAGAGCCGCCGCGAUGUCGGGUGCGACAAUAUAUAUACUCUAUGUUCACAAGAAAAAAAUUGUGUUUUUUUAAUGUGAGAUAAAAAUUAUUUUUGAAUUAAAUACUUUAACUUAAAAGGAUAAUAUACUAAUAUAGUAUCUUUUCAAUAUGGGAUGAAAAAUCUUUAGAAAUAAUCUUUUAAACUUCAUUAUUUAUAACAUGUAUAGUCUAUAUUCACAUAAAUUAUUUCAUAAUUUUUUCAUAUAAAAUAUUAAAACUUCAAAUAUUUUUUUAAAUUUUUCCGGGUUGAUUUGAGUUGAUCUAGGUCAACCCAUGUAACCCGGGUCCUGACUUCUUGGCCGGGUCAACCCAUGUAACCCGGGUCCCGACUUCUUGGCCAGGUCAACCCUGGGUCGGGUCUAAUAACUAUGGGUAAAAGGUCUAUGGAUAUCCCAAAAUAAGCUACAGAUGAAAUAUGUUGAAUUUAUUAAGAAUUCUUAUCAAUCUAUCAAGGUUGUCAAUUCCGUUCCGUUUCGCCCGAAAUGGCCGAAACAUUCUAUACCAAUUCAAAAAACGGAACAAAAUGGAAUAAUUUUCAUCUCAUUUUAAAUCUCAGCCCGUUCCGGAUUUUUUGUUAAAUUUCGGCCGGAACGUUCCGGUUUCAUUCCACAUGUUCCAUUCCGUUCUUGAAAAGUCAUUGAAUCAAAUUGAACCUUGUUCAAUUUAAUUAAUUAAACCACCCAAGUAUAAAAAGCUCUUUUUCAUUACUAUUUUCAAUAACAAUGAUAUUAAUAAUAAUAUUGAAAAUUAUUAUUCUUAUUUUCAUUAACAAUGAUAUUAAUUUUUUAAAAUUAGAUUUAUCACUAAUAUAUAUGGUUUAUAUUCAUGUUGUUUUUUUUUUCAUGUUUAUACUUUGUAGGAAUUUGAGCAAAACAAGGGAUGUUUUAGAUUCCAUUAGCCUUGAUAACAUUGACCUAACUUUAUAUUUAAAAUAUUUGUGUUAAAGCAUUUUACUUUUAUAAUAUUUUGAUAUUUUGUUUAAGUUGAAUUACUUUAAGUUAAAGAUCUAUUUAAUCUUGACUAUUUAAAAAUAUUUUAAAUUUUAAAAAUUAUAUUUGUUUGGCAUUGUGUUUGUAUUGCAUAAUUUAUAAUUAAUUUAUCUUGAAUUUGAAUAUAUUUGUUGAAGCACCCUCUACAACUCGAUGCCCAUUUGGCUGUAUUUUUAAAAUGUUUUUUAUUUAAAAAUAUUUUAAAAUAAUAUUUUUUUAUUAUUUAAAAUUUAUUCUUAAUGUUAGCUAAUCACAUGUUGAAUCUUUUAAAAUUAAACUUAGAAGUUGUUUUGUUUUGACUAAUUUUAUUAUUUUCCAAGGAUUUUUUAGAUUUAUUAUUUUAAUUUCAGAUUUUUGUUUUAAUUUUCUUAUUGUUUUCAAAUUUUAAAUUGUUUUUUAACAAAAAUAAGAUUUUUUUUUGCCCUGUUUAAAGAUCCUAAAAGUAUUGCGAAGGCAAAUAUCAUAUACUUAUUUUUUUUAGUUAAUAAAACUUUAAAUUUAUGGUUCAUAUAUAUAUAUAUAUAUAUAUAUAUAUAUAUAUAUAUAGAGAGAGAGAGAGAGAGAGAGAGAGAGAGUAUUAAUACAUAUUUGUUAUAAAAAAAAGUCAUAGAGAGGAUAAUUGUAUCUUGAAGAAUAUAGAGAGCUAUUCUCUUCCGAAGACUCUAUUAUAAUUAAAUAGGAAAUAUACUUUUAGGUUUCUUUGUUUGUAAUAAAAAUGUAUAAGAUGUUGGCGUCUGGUAUCCCUUCCAUAGGUGUCCCUUUUGCGUUUAUCCCCUACGGUUCAUGUGAGAAGGGUACAGGUAUACUAGACAACGUCUAGUUAUUGUCGUGAGAUAUAAGCGAUGAAAAUAGUGAAUACAUAAACAUAUUUGAUAAAAAGAUAAAAAUAAAUUUGUUUUUAAAAUAGAUUUAAAGUUAAUUUUUAUAAUUUUAAAACAGAAAAUAGAGAAUAUGUGUCUAGAAAUAAUAUUUAUUAUUUUUAUUUAUAAAAUAUCCUUGUAAAAAACUAUAAAUUUCAAAAUAUCCAACUAAAACAUGUAAAAAUAAAAAUGAUUAUUAAUAUAAUUUUACCAACUUGGGGGUCGAUCCAGGACAAAACCUAGAUCACUAGUCGAGGCAUAGGUCAUAAGUCGGGUUGACCCGAUUCGAUGUAAAAAUAAAAAUAGUUAUGAUAAUAGUUUUAAAACGCUAUUUGGUGGUCGAUCUCGGGCAAGGUUCGGUUCACGAGUGGAAUUGACCAUUGAGCCAGGUCAACAUAAUAACAAAAAUGAUUAGUACUGUAGUUUUAAAACUUAACUCAAGAAUUGACUUAGGAUAAGACCCAAGUCACAUGUUAGGAGGAUCAACCCUUGUUGACUCAGGUUAAUAUAAAAUAAAAAUGGUUAUUAUCAUAGUUUUAAAAACUUGAUUAGGGGGUCAACCAAGGAGCAAAACUCUAGUCAUAGAUCAAGUGGGUCAACUCAGGUUGACCCGGGACAAUGUAAAGAUAAAAAUUGUUAUUAUUGUAGUUUUAAAACUCUACUCAGGGUCAACCGAGGCAAGGCCCAGGUCACAUGAUUAGGAGGUUCAACACAGGUUAACCCGAGUCAACGUAUAGAUAAAAAUAGUUAUUAUCAUAGUUUUAAAACUCGACUCGGGAGUCGACUCAAGAUAAGAUUCAAGUCAUGAGUUAGGAGGGUCAACUCGGCUAACCCAAAAUUUUUAAUGUUUUUUUCAAAAAAAUCAAUGGGACCCGUGUUUUAUCCAAAGUUGAUCUAAGUUUUUGACUGGGUUAGGUUGAGUCAAUCCUUCCUCUAUUUUUCUUAUACUCGGACUAGUUCAGGCUUCGAAUCAACUCAUCAAGUCGGUCAUGGUUUUAUAACUAGAGUUAUUAUAAUAUUAUUAAUUUCAACCCUUAAUAUAAACUAAAGUAAAAAUAAAAUAAAAUAUUGAAUUUAUUUUUUUAAAUAUGUAAGUUUGAUAACAAUAUAUAUUAAGGGUAAAAUAAAUUUUUUUAUAUUUUAUUUUAUUUUAUUUAUCAUAACCAAAUAAAAUACAAAGAUAAUUAUUUUAUCUUAUAUAUCAUUACUAAACAUAAUUCUAUCUAUGUCUCAUUUUAUAUCUUGCCUCCUCUAUUCCCAUUGUCUCUAUCAAUAAUCAAAAACUACCUUAAAAAAUAGCCAGGAAUGGUGGUAGGUGACUAAAGUCCCGUUUGAAUCAAAGAAUGAUGGUUUUAUUGAAAAUCCAUAACUAUAUAUAAAAACUUAAAUUAUGCAUCAAUAAUAUUUAAUUCAACUAAAAUAUCUUGAAAUUUUGUUAUCUUUAUAACUAAAAUUAAAUUGGAAUUUUAAUAACGAUUUUAAUGCCUUUUUCGUAUAAAGCUAAUUAUUAAAAUAAAAAAUAAAUGAAUAAAAGUUAAAUUUGUGCAUUCUAUUGUGUGUUUUUUUUUUUUGUAAAUUUUAAUCUCUGUCCUCUUGGGGUUUAUAUGUUUUCUAUAUUUUACCUAAAAUUUUUAAUUUAUUUCAAUUAAUUAAAUCCCGUAUCUUUUAUUUUUGUUUCACUUUGUGUAAAUUUCAAUUUCGUCAACAAAGUUUAUGAAAAAUCUUAAUAUCACCGCAAAUAGUGAAAUGAAAAAAUUGAAAAAAUCAUCAAAAAAAGACAAUUUUUUUUUAAAAAAAUAUGAUAAUUUUUCCCCACCAACAUUAUAUAACAGUCUUUUGACAAUAAAAAAUAAAAUUAAACUAAAAACUGAUAUGAUAAAAAAUAUUUUUAAUUAAUAAAAGUAUCAACCACCAUUAUCGUUAUCUCUCACACACUCUUUCACUAGUGUGUGUUAUAUAUCUUGAACAAAAAUCCUAGGAAAAAAACAAUAAUAUCCCAUAUAAAUUUAAGUUUAGGGAUUAUGUUUUGAAAACCAGAUGGCCAAAUAUACUGGGUAGGGCAAGAAAUUGGAAAACGCACAUCAACCUUUCGGCUUUUGGAUCUUCUUGUGGAAAAUGCAGCAACGGGCUCAUAAAUACUCGUUGGGUCAAGUGCGGAUAAGGACAUAGAUUCUUUGAAAUUAGAAUGUGAUUGUCGAUCCCUUGAUGAUUUUCCUUAAUAAUUUUUAAAUGGAAUGGUAGCUUGAAUAUAGGACAAUUUUAACAUCACAUAAUGUUUUGACAAAUCAAAGAUGCUCCUUGAUGAAAACAUCGAAGAAAGAAAGAGAAAUGAUGAUGGAGAUAGAUCAGAAUGGGGAAUGUUUUGAUGAAGAAAAUUAAAAGAGAGAGUUAAAUAAAUUUUAUCAUAUUUGUUCUCAUAAACAAAUAUAUUUUCUACUGAUUUUUGUUUUCAUCUUUGUUAAUUUCAAUUAUUUAAUUUAAUUUCUUUACUUCUUUAAUGAUAUUGUGAUUUUUAAUAAUACAAUUAAAAUCCACACACCCGACAGAAACAAGGGAGGGAGAAAUUGGAACAAAAAUAAAAGAUGUGGGGAUAAAAUAGAUAAAAGAUCUAAGAUCUAAUUGAAACAAACAAAAGAUUCUAUCCUUUAUUUUUCUAAGUUUUUUAAUAAGAUCAAAUUCCGUGUUCUUUUCUCUAUACGUACCUUUAGAUUAUUAUCUCGUACUUAAUUUUAUCAAAUAAAAUAUAGAUAGUAAAACUCAAACUCAUAAUUAAUUGAUGAAUAAAUUUUUUAUAUAUUAUCAAGGAAUUAUUUUAAUUUAAAAAUUAAUUGAUAAAAUUCUAAUAUAUAAUUUAAUUUUAAAUUUUUUAACAAAACAAAACAAUAACAAGUACACACUCAACUAUACGAGGAAAAGGGUCCAUGUAUUUGAACUUGGCAAAUAGAAGACUAGGCAGGAUUCAUAUAAAAGUCAUAUCUAGAAAAUUUUCAUUUGGAUGCCAAUUUAUUCUUGGUCAACCAAUUAAGUCAAUGCUCAGGCCGUUCAUUUUAAAUUUACAAAGUAAAACGUAUUCUCAGGGAUGAUUACAGUUAUUCUCUCCCCAUGAUAUCACCUGUACAGCUUUAUUAGUUCCAUUACUCCACAUGGUUUCAAGUGAAUUUCCAAGCCCCUUUUCAUUUUUUCGUUAAAUUUGCUCCAAAAUGAUCCUGAUGACAACCAUAGAUGUAAAUUUAGUCAUGUUUUUGCUGAUCAUACCGUUUUCAGCUCUCCCAGCCAUUACUGUUGCAGACCAUCUUGUUACAUCUUGCUCCGAUAACACAAGCAACUACACUCUCAACAGUCCAUUUGAGAGCAACCUCAAGCUUCUUCUUGAGAACAUGCCUUCCAUCACUUCAUUAACAGGUUUUAACCACACCUCUGUUGGAGAUAUCCCUGCCAAGGUCUAUGGCCAAGCACUGUGCAGAGGUGAUGUCAACUCAAGUUCUUGUCAGGCUUGUGUGGAGAAGGCAAGCCAACAAAUCUUUAAUGAUUGUAGAAAUUAUAAAGAUGCAAUCAUAUGGUAUGAACUUUGCCAAGUUCACUACUCGUUUCAGAAUAUGACUUCCUUGUAUGUUUAUACAGGGAAGUAUCCAGACUGGGAUUCUCAUGAGAAAUUUCUAUCAGAUCCAAAACAUUUCUCUGAUGUUCUAAUCUACUUAAUGACUAACCUGUCAACUGAGGCCGCUGUCAAUCCUUCCAAGCACAUGUUUGCAACUGGGUCAAUCAAAUUUAGAAGCGAAACCGUAUAUGGUCAUGCACAGUGCACACGAGAUAUCAUACCAGAUGAUUGUCAAACAUGUUUGAAAACUGCUUUGGCUGAACUCAAAGGAUGCUGUUCGUCACGGCAAGGUGGAAUUAUUGUUAGCAGGAAUUGCGAUGUGAGAUUUGAGCUGAACAAAUAUUACAAUGCCUCGAGUUACUUGUUAACAUAUCCGAAUCCUAAAGGUUAGUGCACAGGAGUUUUUUGGCUGAAAAUCUGUGAGCGAAAAGAAGUAAUCAUGUCUUGCAUUAAUGACUGAUAUGGUUAUUCUUAAUUCUUGCCCAUGACGGAUAACAUAUAUGUAGCGCAGAAUUGUCCAGAAUCUUAGUUUAUUAUUUUUGGAGAUUAAAUAUUUUUCUUCAUAAAUUGAAUCUUAUGCAAUUCUAUGCUUUGCAAGGCAGGAAGUAAUUGGAAGAUUGGGAUAGUGGCAAUUGCAGCAUGUGCUCCUGUAGCGGUGAUUGUAAUUGUCAUUGCGUCUUGCAUUGUCUGUCUGCUGAAAAAAAGAGGACAACAAAGAGGUAAAUUAACUAAGCGAUCAGCAGAUUGUUAGGCUAAAUUGAUAUCAGAACUACAAAAGAGUAAAACUCCGAUUCUUUGUCAGGCGUGGAAAGAAGUCACCUAGCAUUAUUACAGGAAUUGGCCUGUCCAAGAGGGGUCACAAUGACAGAUGAAGGUCAGUUGGUAAGUUCUGAGGACCUGCCUUUCAUGGACUUAACUACUAUCAGAGAAGCUACAGACAACUUCUCCGAUUCAAAUAAGCUUGGACAAGGUGGGUUUGGCACUGUUUAUAAGGUAAGUGGUCAUGGGGCUUUGCUGUCAUAAUCCACUGAGAUUCAGGAGUAUGUCUUUCCAAUCCAUCCCUCUAGGAAAACCGAGUUUUUUUGUUCAGUUUGCCAUGGCUUAAUAUUGCUUCAGUUGAUAAUAUUUGCCUCAUUGCAAAUUUGUUUCAGGGUGUGUUACCAGAUGGGAAAGAAAUAGCUGUUAAGAGGCUGUCAAGGAAGUCAUGGCAAGGCUUAGAGGAGUUCAAGAAUGAAGUCAAAGUAAUUGCAAAAUUACAGCACCGAAACCUUGUGAGGCUAUUGGGAUGUGGCAUGGAAGGAGAUGAAAAGCUGCUCAUAUAUGAAUUCAUGCAUAACAAAAGCCUUGAUAUCUUUAUCUUUGGUCUGUUCCUUUCAUUUAGUUUGCCUUUGAAUUCUUAAAUAUUACAUUUUCAACAAUUAAACGAUGCAAGAGGCUGAAGUUUCUUCUUAUUCAAAUUUCAGAUGCCGAAAGACGCGCACUUCUUGAUUGGGAGACAUGUUACAACAUAGCUGGUGGGAUUGCUAGAGGACUUCUUUAUCUACACGAGGAUUCCCGGCUUAGAAUCAUUCACCGGGAUUUGAAACCUAGCAAUGUGCUACUAGACCAUGAAAUGGUUGCCAAGAUAUCAGAUUUUGGCAUGGCUAGAAUUUUCUGCGAAAACCAGAACAAAGCUAACACUAGAAGAGUAGUAGGAACAUUGUAAGCCCUCUUUUAAUUUUUAAUUUUUUUUACCUCUAAUUUCUUUUUCUAGUUUGGUGAUGAUUUUAGUCCUAAAUUCUUAUAACUUAUCCAAAGUACGUCUUACGCACGAAAGAGCGGAUAUAUGGCUCCGGAGUACGCAAUGGGAGGGCUCUUCUCAGUGAAAUCAGAUGUCUUCAGCUUUGGUGUUAUACUACUGGAGAUCACAAGUGGGCAAAGAAGUAGUGGCUUUUAUCUCUCAGAACAUGGCCAGACACUCUUAGCAUAUGUUUGUACAAUACAUCGCUGCCAUCAAAAUUUCCAUUCAAAUAAUUUUCAACCUAUCAAAAAGAAUUUGAAGCUUGAAAAUUAUAACUAGGUACUGUUAUGAUAGUUUUUUUCAUGCAAUUUGACAGACGUGGAGAUUGUGGAAUGAAGGGAGAGAAAUAGAAUUAGUGGAUCCUUCGUUGAUGGACAGAAGUCAAACAGAAGGGAUUGUGAGGUGCAUACAUGUUGGGCUGUUAUGUGUGCAGGAAGAUCCAUCAGACAGGCUAACAAUGUCAUUUGUGGUUCUAGCUUUGGGAAGUGACCCAAUAGCUCUUCCUCAGCCGAAACAACCUGCUUUCUCUCUUGGUAAAAUGGUUCCAAUCUACAAGUCUUCACCAACAGAUCCUUCUGUAAAUCAAAUGACUGUUUCUGGUAUCGCACCGCGCUGAUUGUUAAUAAGAUUGCCACUGUUCCUGUCAAUGUCUGCGGCAAUU